rnacentral:rRNA from 1 species
GACGAACGCUGGCGGCAUGCCUAACACAUGCAAGUCGAACGAGACCUUCGGGUCUAGUGGCGCACGGGUGCGUAACGCGUGGGAAUCUACCCUCAGGUUCGGAAUAACUCAGAGAAAUUUGAGCUAAUACCGGAUGAUGACGUAAGUCCAAAGAUUUAUCGCCUGGGGAGGAGCCCGCUUAGGAUUAGGUAGUUGGUGAGGUAAAGGCUCACCAAGCCGACGAUCUUUAGCUGGUCUGAGAGGAUGCUCAGACACACUGGGACUGAGACACGGCCCAGACCCCCACGGGAGGGAGGAGUGGAGAAUAUUGGACAGUGGGCGAGAGUGUGAGCCAGCAAUGGCGCGUGGGUGGUGAGGGCAUUAGGGGUGUAAUGCUCUUUUACCAGAGAUGAUAAUGACAGUACCGGGAGAAUAAGCACCGGCUAACUCCGUG